UUGCUUAAGAUCGGUAUAUCUACACAGAUUUCAACAACACAGUGACUCCCAUCUAUUUCCCAGCUACAGCUAGUGAAACCAUGACAAGAUAUCUACUGAUACAGCUUCCAGAACUCCACAGAACAAGCUGGGGUCUGAAUGUUAGAGCAGAUUGUUUUUUCACUAGACUUCACACAAGAAAAUGAGGUGUAUUGCCCUUCUUUCCUCCCAGACUUGUACUUUCUGCUAGCUCCCACACUUUGCUACCACCUGCAUUUCCCAAGAAAUUCACACUGCGGACAUGGCUAUAUCACUGAGAGGCUCCUGGAAGUGUUGCCUUGCAGAAUUGCUGUGAUUUGGAGACUGGCAGUUUUACCUAGACUGGUGGUAAGGUGUCCUUCACCUCAUGCAAAAAGAGUAUGCUGCUGCUUCAUUUGGAAUAAGACUGGUAGGUGACGUGGUUUAGGUUUGUUAAGAACUGUAAAUCAGUUUUCAAACAAGAACAAUGAUUAGCUGGUACAGGUCUGGUUUGACAGAUCACUAGCACGACUGAAUGCUGUCUUAGAAUUUAACAAGUCAGGUUCAGUGGGUAAUACAUGUUCAGUAAAACAAAGUCAUACACUUUGUGUAUCUCACAUUUAUUAUUGUCAUUUAUAUUGUUGUGGAGAAGACAGUAACCAUUACUGACAGGCUGACAGUGACUUCAUAACUAUUGUGGUGCAGCUAAUACACACCUGAUCACAUUAGGAGUAAGCAUUAACUUUUGAUUUCACUAUUGUUUCUUCAGAAACAGAAACUUGAUUUAUGUGAGUAAGGUAUGGACAAGAUCCAAAAAUAUCAAAUCCUUACCUGUUUUAACUGAGUGUAUAAUCCUGCACCCGAGACUCUUUUAGCCUCUGUUUCUGGUUUCCAUUAGCAUCCCCAUACAAGGAGAUGUGUCUGUGAAAAAAAGGUAUCAGAAGACUCUAAAUGAAGUUUACAUUUUUAGCCUUUGCUGGCUUUUCUAUAAUGUGUGCUUCUUUUCCAGUGCAGUUGGCUAAGAAAAGCGAGACAUCUUGGUAUCACUAACAGAUAACAAAGGGUCAGCAGCUCAACAAAAAUAAGUGUAUGUCCAACUAUCGCUUCCUUCACUCAAGCUGAAUCGUUCAGAAACAUGCUGUACUUCACAUUGGGAAAAAACCACUGCUGAUUGAUAGAAAGUUUAAAAAAAAACAUGCGACAACACUUUCUCAAAAGUUCAUUUUGGUUACCCUUGUUGUGUGUUUGACUUCAAAAUGUUUAUUUAAUUUUCAAAGGAGUGGUUGUAUCUUCUUUAGGAGUAGUUGAGUUCAUUAUAUUUUUAUACUUUAGCCAGUAAAACCCCAUUAAUAUAUGUUAAUACUAUUUGCACGUAUAUGUAUAGACAUAUAUUAUGUAUUUGUACAUUCUUUAGAUACAUAUUUACCAUAUAUAUCACUAAUUAUUCUAUUGAAAAAAUAUAUUAAAAUAUCUUAAAAAGUUAAAUGGCACAGAAGUUAUAAUGUGUGUUUCCACAGAGAACAGGAACAUGUAUUGACCUAAAAGGGAAACAGGAUUUGCAAUGCCUUAGAGGAAUGGAGUUUGACCUGGGGGGGAGAGAGAGUAAGAGAGAGAGAGAGAGAUAUGGAUACUUAUGUAAGACAUGAUGUUAAUAAAGUUGAUUUUUAUCUCUCAAGUAGUGUCACAUUAGUCAAGAAUACAGCCUUUUGCUUUCAAACAUCAUUAAAAAAAUUGUAAAACACAUUAAAACUUGUUAAUACUUAA